rnacentral:rRNA from 1 species
GACCAAGGAGUCUAACAUGUGCGCGAGUCGUAGGGUUACGCUCAAAGCCCGAAGGCGCAAUGAAAGUGAAGGUCGGCCUCGAUUGCCGUUACCUAGGCGGGAUCCGUUCGGGCUUACCGGUCGUUCGCGGCUGAGCCCGGCGGCGCACCGCCGGCCCGUCUCGACCGCAUCGCCGGUGAGGCGGAGCGAGAGCGUACACGUUGGGACCCGAAAGAUGGUGAACUAUGCCCGGGCAGGACGAAGCCAGAGGAAACUCUGGUGGAGGUCCGUAGCGAUUCUGACGUGCAAAUCGAUCGUCGGACCUGGGUAUAGGGGUGAAAGACUAAUCGAACCAUCUAGUAGCUGGUUCCCUCCGAAGUUUCCCUCAGGAUAGCUGGUGCUCGAGGAGGGCAGUCUCAUCCGAUAAAGCAAAUGAUUAGAGGCCUUGGGGCCGAAACGACCUCAACCUAUUCUCAAACUUUCAAUGGGUGAGAAGUCCGGCUUGCUGACUGAAGCCCGA